ACCCACCUUUCCUUACCUGACGUGCAACAUGCUUCCGGUUGUUUAGAACACCUGUGGAAAGUGGAAAGAACGUUCGCCAUUUUCUCCCUUUUCAACUGCGUAGUCUGCACAAGCACAAGAAUCGCUGGGGAAAGACUGGCCUACAUGAGAGAGAUCUACAAAAUUCCCCUGGAUAAUUUCACCAGGCAUUCAUUGACAAAAAGUGAGUCAAUGGAACACUUGGAGCAUUUUCAUGGGAAACGGACCCCUGUCCACCAAGAUGAGGGCUGUACAUCUGAACAAUACAUCUACAAGGAGAAGUUGGGUGGGCUCCAACCGGACACCGGCCAACGCCAUUGGAAACACCAUCCGGCAUUUCAUAUUAUAGGAUGCUAACUACCAGAGUAAUGAACCAUCAUUCCUGGAACAUGGCUUUCAACCACAUCCGGGGAUGAAGAAACUGUGUGUGUGUGUGUGUGUGGGGGGUUGAAUUUCAAUUAAAUGUUAGGAUUACGUCGGCAUUUUGCACAUCAGUUUUAAUAUUGAGACUCAAUGUGCUUUCAUAGGUCUGGCAGCUUGCCCUUUUGUUCUUAGCUAUGAAAACAUAGGUCAGUCAAAAGGAAGGCAAUAAUGGCAAUGCCAGCCAAACUAGGCAUGCAUUAA